rnacentral:misc_RNA from 1 species
UUUAGAAACAUCAGUGGCCAACGAUCGUCAGGAUUGUUGAGCUGCAUUGGCGGGAUUUCGCCGUCUUCGUUUCUCUUUCUUCGCGGACGAACACGCGCUGGGGCUGCAGGCUUGCAGAAUCCCUGGUCCUUGACUGGAUAUGCGUUAGGGGCUUGUAGCUCAGUUGGUUAGAGCGCGCGCUUGAUAAGCGUGAGGUCGGAAGUUCAAGUCUUCCCAGGCCCACCACACUCAUCGAGUGAGCAUUCGUCUUCUGGUUACGGGGCCAUAGCUCAGCUGGGAGAGCGCGUGCUUUGCAAGCAUGAGGUCGUCGGUUCGAUCCCGUCUGGCUCCACCAGAUGGUUUGAUCAUCGACUGAUCGUGCAUCUAAAUCGUCCGCGAAACAUCACUUCGCACUUACUAGUCCGGAUGGACAGUGAGCUGCGUGAUUUCUGACAUCGUANAGAGGAGAUCGAUCCGAGUUGGAUCGGGCAACAAGCAAUUGUUGCGCGAUACUUCAUUAUCUCCGGAUCAUUUCGGCGCUCGUGCGUCUUUCAAUGUAGCUCACAAGGCUGCGUUUGAGAGACAUGCGAGUUGUAAAUGAUCCUUUUAGCGAAGCUUGACCGCCUCGCUAUCGGAACGAUCUUACGAAGCAAGCUGGUCUUUCUAAUCAUUGUCCGGCUGUGAGAAUAGCGUUCAUCGAGGACGCGCGCCGCAAGGCAGUUCUUACAGACAACAUUCUGCCGAGUGUGUGGACAUUGAUAAUGAGAGCAAUCAAGUGCCUUAAGGGUGUUCGGUGGAUGCCUUGGCGCUGAGAGGCGAUGAAGGACGUGCUACGCUGCGNAUAAGCCGUGGGGAGCUGCGAAGAAG